rnacentral:sRNA from 1 species
UCAGUUGUCGACUACGUCGGAGCAACUCUAAAAACUGAAGCUCUACAGAACCCAGAUUUCAAGAACCAGAUCUACCAAAUGUCAUGUCAACUUCUUCGAUUAGAUAAAGAAAAUGCGAGACCCUUAUCACUAUAUCACUGUUUUAUCGGUACUUGCCAACAACAGGAUACUACAGCCCGAAUUUCAGAGAUUUGGGCCAUCAUUAGAGGCCUGAAAUGUGAUGUUAAGAAGCGAAAAAUGACUGAAAUGCUGGCGAAAGUGGUGACAAGCUCGGAAAUUCAAAUCGGUACGGUUUUUUGGAAAAUUUUUUUUUUUUGGAAAAUUUUUUUUCUGAAAAUGAACUGAAAUGUUCAAAUUAAUUAUCCCAAGCCUAUUCAAGCCUAUUCAGAUCCAAGCCUGCUCUCCGACAUGACCAUCUGCUCCCUCGGGCUUCACCCCACCCGUUUCAACACUGAAUCCACUCAACUUUUCGUUGCUUCAAUAUCCAAAUUAUUGGAUUUCCGUAACGAAUCCGAACGGAUUAUGCUCUUCCAGGCCACAGCGAAUACCCCGACGCUGAUGGAUUUGGUAGGGGUGUCUAGGGGUUUCUAGGCCAACAGGUGGAAAACUAGGCCAUGAAAACAUCAUUUUUGGAAUCUACGCGCUGAUGAGAGCUUUCCACCCAUAUUGCCUGGGUUCUGAUUUGUUUGAACUAACUUUUUUGGGAUUUUAGUCGAAAAUUUGGGUCCCGCCACGAAAUUGUGAUAUUUUUGAAAAUCCUAUAAAGUUCAGUUGAAGCCCAGCUCUAGCUGAGUUCAAAUCAUUUUUCAGACAUCAAAAAUAUGGAUUUUAAGCCAAGUUAUGGCGGUUUUAAAUUGGUGGCCUAGGAUUUCCUAGGCCACCAACUAAAAAUCGACAUAACUCGGCUGAAAAUCAAUAUUUUUACGAUCAGUAAAAACGAAUCAGCAGAGAAUUUCAUGAACUUUCCCCGCUAAAAGGACCAGUGGCCGAACUUCGAUUUUCCUCGGCCACCGGAAAAAUCCUAGGCCACCAAAUUAAAUUCGCCGUAACUUGGCUGAAAAUCAAUAUUUCUGGGAUCUGCAAAACGAAAUCAAUUGAAAAUUUCAUGGGCUAUCCCCUCAAAUGUCCAGUGGCCGAGAAAACUCCGAAUUUUUCUAGGCCACCAACUAAAAAUCACCAUAACUCGGUUAAAAAUCCAUAUUUUCACAAGCUGCAAAAACAAAUCAAUAGAAAAUGUUAUAAAAAAAGCUAUUUUAUUUAUUAGGUGGCCUAACUUUCGCGGCUUUCUAGGCCACCCUUUGGAAAAACCUAGUCUCUGCUUUUUCUGAAAAUCGACAGUUUCUAGUAAAAACGCUAGUUUAGAUGAGUUGAAAUCAUUUUUUAGAUUUCAAAAAUAUUGAUUUUAAGCCAAGUUAUGGCGGUUUUCAGUUGGUGGCCGAGGAUUUCCUAGGCCAUCAACUGAAAAUCUAUAUUUUCACGAUCCGUAAAAACAAAUUUCGUAGAUUUCUAGACCACCGAACAAAAAAAUUCAAUUUUUUUUUCAGAUUUCCUCAAUCCUGAGCCGCCCAUCCACCGAUUUUUCCAUCUCCGGAUUUCAAAUGAUUCUUUAUUUUUUCACACGAUUUCAUAUUGGAUCAAUGGAAUUUUAUCCAUAUAAUCAUCUUCUCAUUAUCACUAAAAUCAUCAAUUUCUGCCAUUGGAGCAUUCGAAAAUUCGCGAAAGAGCCCAUGAUUCUGAGCAUUUCAGUUGAUGCGAUUUGUGGAUUUUUACCGUGGAGUUAUCUGAGUGAAAUUGCUCUAAAUGGGCUUGAAGUUGAGAAUGAUCCUGUGGAGCAGUUGAUUGCUCAAAAUUUGAAGCACAAUCGAUUUUGG